rnacentral:rRNA from 1 species
GAUGAACGCUGGCGGCGUGCCUAAUACAUGCAAGUCGAGCGAACGGACGAGAAGCUUGCUUUUCUGAUGUUAGCGGCGGACGGGUGAGUAACACGUGGAUAACCUACCUAUAAGACUGGGAUAACUUCGGGAAACCGGAGCUAAUACCGGAUAAUAUUUUGAACCGCAUGGUUCAAAAGUGAAAGACGGUCUUGCUGUCACUUAUAGAUGGAUCCGCGCUGCAUUAGCUAGUUGGUACGGUAACGGCUUACCAAGGCAACGAUGCAUAGCCGACCUGAGAGGGUGAUCGGCCACACUGGAACUGAGACACGGUCCAGACUCCUACGGGAGGCAGCAGUAGGGAAUCUUCCGCAAUGGGCGAAAGCCUGACGGAGCAACGCCGCGUGAGUGAUGAAGGUCUUCGGAUCGUAAAACUCUGUUAUUAGGGAAGAACAUAUGUGUAAGUAACUGUGCACAGCUUGACGGUACCUAAUCAGAAAGCCACGGCUAACUACGUG